CUCGAUGUAGAGCCUUAUCAA
rnacentral:misc_RNA from 1 species